AUUGAACGCUGGCGGCAGGCCUAACACAUGCAAGUCGAACGAGUGGCGGACGGGUGAGUAAGGUCUGGGAAACUGCCUGAUGGAGGGGGAUAACUACUGGAAACGGUAGCUAAUACCGCAUACCAUCAGAUGUGCCCAGAUGGGAUUAGCUAGUUGGUGGGGUAACGGCUCACCAAGGCGACGAUCCCUAGCUGGUCUGAGAGGAUGACCAGACACACUGGAACUGAGACACGGUCCAGACACCUACGGGAGGCAGCAGUGGGGAAAAUUGCACAAUGGGCACAAGCCUAAUGCAGCCAUGCCGCGUGUAUGAAGAAGGCCUUCGGGUUGGAAAGUACUUUCAGCGGGGAGGCGUUACCCGCAGAAAAGGCACCGGCUAACUCCGUGCCAGCCGCCGCGGUAAUUC
rnacentral:rRNA from 1 species